AUUCCAUGAUGGGGACAUUCUAAGAUGUAAUCUUGGAAACGCUCCCAUGCUUCUGGAACGGAUUCAUCAUGUUGUUGCUGAAAAAUUGUAAUCUUCCCACGGAGAGC
rfam:Sorghum bicolor cultivar BTx623 chromosome 8, whole genome shotgun sequence.